rfam:Oryza sativa (indica cultivar-group) chromosome 4, whole genome shotgun sequence.
AUGGAAGAUGAAUGGCUUGAACAUGCACAUGGUUCUUGAGAGCAGCAGGAGGAGGAGGAUGAAGAGCAAUGGCUAAGCUCCAGUUCAAGAAGCUCUUCAACUCCAUGGUGCCUUUCCGGCCUCCUAGGUGGUCGGCUGAGGUACGCACCAAACCGGCAAGUCACAAAACGGCAAUGGUGAAACUCCAGCAGGAGUCCA